UACGUAGGGGGGCAAGCGUUAUCCGGAAUCAUUGGGCGUAAAGCGCGUGUAGGCGGUUCCGUAAGUCCGCUCUGAAAGCCCAGGGCUCAACCCUGGGAGGCGGGUGGAUACUACGGAACUGGAGUACGGAAGAGGAGAUUGGAAUUCCUGGUGUAGCGGUGAAAUGCGCAGAUAUCAGGAGGAACACCAACAGCGAAGGCAGAUCUCUGGGACGUUACUGACGCUGAGACGCGAAAGCGUGGGGGAGCAAACAGG
rnacentral:rRNA from 1 species